GAAGUGGUUAAUGAUGUACACUCUUUCCCCGACUGAUCGACUAUGGUGAUACAGAUGUCUAAUAAGCCAAUUAUCUCUGAAACCACUGU